GAUGAACGCUGGCGGCGUGCCUAAUACAUGCAAGUCGAGCGAACAGAUGAGGAGCUUGCUCCUCUGACGUUAGCGGCGGACGGGUGAGUAACACGUGGAUAACCUACCUAUAUGACUGGGAUAACUUCGGGAAACCGGAGCUAAUACCGGAUAAUAUAUUGAACCGCAGGGUUCAAUAGUGAAAGACGGUUUUGCGGUCUCUUAUAGAUGGAUCCGCGCCGCAUGGUCUGGUUGGUAAGUUCACGGCUUACCAAGGCAACGAGGCGUAGCCGACCUGAGAGAGUGAUCGGCCACACGGGAACUGAACCGGGGUCCAGACUCCUACGGGAGGCAGCAGUAGGGAAUCUGCCGCAAUGGGCGAAAGCCUGACGGAGCAACGCCGCGUGAGUGAUGAAGGUCUUCGGAUCGUAAAACUCUGUUACUAGGGAAGAACAAAUGUGUACGUAACUAUGCCCGUCUUGACGGUAACUAAUAAGAAAGCAACGGCUAACUACGUG
rnacentral:rRNA from 1 species